rnacentral:rRNA from 1 species
GACGAACGCUGGCGGCGUGCCUAACACAUGCAAGUCGAGAGAGUGAAUCUCCUUCGGGAGUGAAGCUAGCGGCGGACGGGUGAGUAACACGUGGGCAACCUGCCUCAUAGAGGGGAAUAGCCUUUCGAAAGGAAGAUUAGUACCGCAUAAGAUUGUAGCUUCGCAUGAAGUAGCAAUUAAAGGAGCAAUCCGCUAUGAGAUGGGCCCGCGGCGCAUUAGCUAGUUGGUGAGGUAACGGCUCAUCAAGGCGACGAUGCGUAGCCGACCUGAGAGGGUGAUCGGCCUAAUUGGGACUGGGACACGGCCCAGACUCCUACGGGAGGCAGCAGUGGGGAAUAUUGCAAAAUGGGGGAAACCCUGAUGCAGCAACGCCGCGUGAGCGAUGACGGCCUUCGGGUUGUAAAGCUCUGUCUUCAGGGACGAUAAUGACGGUACCUGAGGAGGAAGCCACGGCUAACUACGUGCCAGCCGCCGCCGUAA